AUUCCUCCAACAAAUAAGACAGAGAACUGCCUGUUUUUUUGGUUCCCUAUCGAAGGACGGAGCUUGGAACAACAUUUAUAACGGUUUAAUGACACAAAGAGUAAAAGGUGCUGCAGCCCAUCCAUCUGCUGAAUGUUGCCAAGUAACAGCCAUCCAUGGAACAUGGAAAAAUGAAUUCACCCGGCCAGGCCCAAAUUGUCGACCCACAGAACAUGAGAUCUGAAACGAAGCCAAGCAAAGCAACAUCACCUUCUGGAAAGUGCAGAAACUGCAAUCAAGAUCAACAAAGAAAAGCACCCUUCCCAUAGAUUCAUCUCUUUGGCGUUUAAGUGUUUGGGCGAGUCUACAAAACUCAGAUUCCUCAUUUAACUAGAUGUUCCAGGUCACAGAGAUAUUCUACUAAGGCAAUUUUCAAAAGACCAUAAAACCACCACAUCAAUUUAUGCUUGCAGGUAGUAUAAUUGCCUUUGUAUCAUAUAUUUUUAGAAAAAGUGGCUUAAAACAAUUUGAAUAGUGCUUUAGAAAUAAGACCCUUAAAUAAUUGACGCUGGUAUUGCCUUUCUUAACUCUGGGAUUUCAAAACAUUUUCCAAACAUUAAUUGCAAUGGGACCCUGGUGAGGCUGAUAUUAUCAUACCUAUUUUCCAAGACGAUAAGCAGGGAGCGCAGGGCCCGUUUCUUGUCUUGCCCCAUGCCCUUCAGAGCUUGUCCAAGCUCAGAGCUCCCUUAAAAACCAUUGGAUCAGCUCCAUGGGAGCACAGAGGAAAAUGAGAAAUGGGCUCUUGGAGAUUUAAGGGAUUCUGUAAGGUUGUGUGUGAGUGAGCUGUAGCUAAAAGUCAAAGCUGGAAAUCUAAGAUUCCUUAUUCAGUGCUUGGAUAUAUUUCCUCAUUAAGAUAAUUCAUGUAGAAUAUCAGGCUUGCAGGAAUAUGCUGGUAAGAAGUGGACUCUGUUGCUGUUUGUUUUUGAGUAACUUAUUUAAUAACAAAAAUGCCUCCCUUUGAUUUGAAUAAAAAUAAAUGGCUGGAUUUUCACAGGCAGCAUGCAUAGAAGACCAGCAAGGGCCAACAGUGAAUUUCGACACUGACUUUUAAAAAUUGUGAAAGAGAUGCUAACAGCCUAAUUUGCAGUGGAGACUAGAUUCUGUGGCUGUAUCAGGUGGUGGUAUAAAGAAGAGCCAUAUACAGAAGGUGAAAUGAGGGGUUAAAAGUCACGCUAAACAUGCUGCAAGGACCUGUGGGCAUCCCAACCUUUUUUUCUUUAAUUGGGAGGAGAAGAGCUUUUUACUAAAGAGUAAGUUCCACAAUGUAGGCCGGUGGCCCAACUGGGAAAUACUCUUGAUUUGAACAGUUUGCAGCAGUUCUUUUCUGAACUCUUUAUAUAGAUCCUCUUUCAAUAUGGGGACACAUAUUUUAAGGUAAAAGGGGUAUUUUACUAAUUUUUUUUAAUGAAGCUUUCACUGCAAGCAAUAUUUGGAGUUAGUAAUCACCGGCUGGUUUCUUUCCCUCCUGCACUGCAGGAAUGAGGCCACUUUCACAGCUGGUUGUCAGCACAUCUCUUAUUACUAACACCAAUUAUUGAUUUUUAAAAGGCCUACGCUAUUAGUACCCUGCUACAUCUCUUCACGUACAAUAUGUGUUUUAAAAAUUCCUUUUGUAAAAAUAUAAAAUCUGAGUCCAACCUUUCUAUCAUCACUGUGCUUGUUCUUUACAUUUUAUCUUAUACCUUCACAGGAAAGCAAACCCGGAAUCUUUUUUUUUUUUUAACUUUUGGGCUAAUUUAGAAGCAGAAAUACUUUGCCCAUAUGAUCUCUCUGGCAGGUAUCACAUUAUAAAAAAGCAAAUGGUGCGUAGUGAGGGAGGAUGAAAGAACAUAAUUAGAGGGUUUAGGAUCUUCUAUCCCCUUUUCUCUGCCUUUAUUUCGUGCCAUCCCAAUCUAUGUUUAAGCCAAUCAUAAAAACCCACCUGGCGUCAUCCCCACUAGGGUGGCUGCUUUUGCAUAGGACUGCACCCCAAAUUGGACUUUUCUCUUCUCUUUGAAAGUUCUCAAUGAAGGUGAAUUUUAGGAUUUCUUUCAAAAGAUACUAUUCACACGUCAGUCAUUCUAGUUGUUGAUAUAUUGUCCAAAUGAUAGGCGGCUCUGAGAAUAUUUAUCUUUAGCAAUAUUUAUGGGUGUAUUAGUUUUGUAGAGCUGGUGUAACAAAGCUCUAUGAAAACGCUACAAAGCUCACCAAAAACUGGAUGGCUUAAACAGCAGAAAUUAACGUUCUCAUAGUUCUAGAGGCUAGACAUGCACCAUCAAAGUGUCAGCAAGGUUGGUUUCUGCUGAGGGAUGUGAGGGAUAAUCUGUUUAUGCCCAUUUCCUAAUUUCUGGUAGUUUUCUGGAAAUUUUGGCAUUUUUUGGAUUAUAGAUGCAUUUUCUGGUAUCUUCCUUCAUGCUCACAUAGGAUUCUCCCUGUGUGUGUGUCUAUGUCUGUGUCUAAAUUUCCCCUUUUUAUAAAGACUCAGUCGUAUUGAUUAGGGACCACCCAAAUGAUUUCAUCUGCUAGGAUACCAUAUCCAAUUAAGGUCACAUUUACUGAGAGAAAGCACUUCAACAACUUUUUGGGCAACA
rnacentral:lncRNA from 1 species